CAAGCGAAGUCAGGUGGCGGAAACCCUGCCAACCCCGUCAGAUCCGAAAGGAAGCAGCGGCAACAGUUGUUUUCGGGUACCUGACUUCCCUAGCAG
rnacentral:SRP_RNA from 1 species